GUCUGUGUCUUUGUGUAACGGAGGCCAGCAGGUGUCGCUGUGCAGAUGUAGUUAGUAAGCCUCACUCCCAACAGCUCAAAAGGAUUCUCUGGUUACAAGACCAGAGGCCUGGGUUUUGGCCUUCUGAUUAGAGAGUCCGACUCCCAUCCGAUCAGAGUGGGUGU